CGGGGUGGGGAAAUGCAAAGCCCCCUGCAAACAGCGCGGUGCUGGGCGCAGGGCAGGUGGCACCCUCGGUUUAAAACAAGUGCCACACCUGCAGAAAAGGGAAUCUUCGAAGACACGAGCUUCCGGUUCUGGGCGUUCCUAGAAAAUGGUCACAACCCAUUGUCACUUUUCAGAGGAACUGGAAGACCUGAAUAGGGUCUUUAAAAAAGCCACUCAGAUGGUUCCAUUUCCUUGAGCUGAGUUGUUGUUGUUGUUGUUGUUGUUGUGUUGUUGUUGUUGUUCUUCUUCACCAAAGCAAGGUUUCAAUUUAAAAAAUAAUAAAUAAAAACGUUGGGAUCUAAUUCACAUCCCGAUUUAAAGUGUAAAAUAAAAAUAUGUUUAUUGUACUCAGAGCUAUGCAACCUCUCCACAGUUUUAGAACAUUUCGUUACACCUCCCUCACCCCCAAAAUAUCCUGUGCCCAUCAGGCAAUCACCAGUUUUUAUCUCUAUCGGAUUGCUUAUUCCAGAUAUAUAAAUGGGAUCAUACACUAGGGAGCCUGUGGUGUCCAGCUUCUUUCCCUUGGCAUGUUUUCAAGGUCCAUCCAUGUUGUAGCAUGUAUCAGUAUUUUAUUGUUUUUAUCAACAAAUUGUAUUCCAUUGUGUGGACAGAUCACAUUUCAUUUAUCCAAUUAUUAAUUGAUGGGCAGUAAGGUCGCUUCCACUUUAGGGCUUUUGUUGUUAUUUUUAAAUAUAUAUUUUUAUUGAUUUUUAAGGAGAGAGGAAGGGAAAAGGAUAGAGAGAUGGAAACAUCAAUGAGAGAAAGAGAAACAUCAUCAAUAGGCUGCCUUCUCCAUGCUCCCCACAGGGGACUGAGAGCCCAACAGGGCAUGUGCCCUGACCUGGAAUCCAACCCGUGACCUCUUGGUUCCAAGUUCAACUGCUGAGCUACACCUUGGGGCUUUUGUGAAUAAUGCUGCUGUGAACGUUCACAACCAAGUUUUUGUGAGGACACAUGUUUUCCUUUAUCUGGGGUAUAAACCUAGAAGUAUAAUUGCUGGCUCUUGUGAACAGUAAAGGGGUUCUACAUAAAGUAACCUCACAGGGUGAUCUAAUCAUAAAUUCCUAAGUGGGCAGAUCAUGGUGUGUAGGCAUGACCCAACACUUGUUUAGUAAAUAGAUCUUUUCAAAGGUGUGUAAAUCUUCUAAAGCAUGACCUCAAGAGAACACAUAAUCUUGUUAAUUAUGCUGUAACCCAAUCCCCCACCUUGCUUUCUCCCACCUUCAAGUGAUCUUGCUUACUUCUUUCUUUAAUUCUAAAUCCACCAAACCGAUUUCGGCGCAGUCAUUUCAUGGAAGCAUUUAUCUCAGUGUGUUGCGAUCUGGCUUCCAAGCUUAUCCUCUGUUUGGCUCAAAUAAAUUUUUUAUAAAAAUUGUCUACAGGUUUGACCAUUCUCACAUUGACAAUCUUAUAACUGUUUCACCGGAACUGCCAGACUGCCAAAGCAGCUGAACCAUUUUGUAGUCCCAGCAACAGUAUGUGAGGCUUCCAACUUCCCUAUAUCCUCAGCAGCACGUACCAUCCUUUUAAUUAUAGCCUUCCUAGUGGGUGUGAAGUGACAUUUCAUUGUGAUUUUGACUUGCAUAAGGCACUUAUUUUUGUUUGAUUGCUUGCCUUUCCUUUUUGUUGUUAUUUUUAGGAAUACUAAGGAGCUCAGGAGCAAAGAAUCUGAGUUUUUCUUCUUUGUUCACUUGCUACCCUGAAUUAGCCAAAUUACACAGGGUGUGUGGGCACAGGCCCAAUGACUUCUAACACCAAUUGCAAGUUUGGGCAAUUCCUAAACCACCUUCUGUUUGGUAAGUCUCCAGAAGGGCUCACUGAGAACUGUUAUAUUCAUGGCGAUCGAUAGUUUAUGACAGUCAGCUAGGGAAAAAUAUGCAUGCGGCAAAGUAUGGAGGGCUCUAAAUGCACAGCUUCUGUUGUCCUCCCAUGGAGUAGGACGUGUGACACUCUCAGCAUUGUGUGUGACAAUAUGCAUCAAACUCAUCUAGUGUCCAGAGAUUUUUAUUGAGGCUUCCUUAUGUAGGAGUGAUUGAUUGCCCAUAGGACUAAACUCAGUCUCCAGAUCAAAUGAUCCAAAAUUUAUGACAUGGUCAAUUUUUCUGGCAUGGCCAGCCCCCAUCUUAAAGUCCAGUUUGGCUAGCCCUCAAAUAAACAAAAACACUUCUAACAGGUAUAACAUACAUCACUUCCCAGAAGCCAAAGCCAAAGGCCAGACCUUCUUUUUGGGCAAGGCCAAAUUCUUUACCACACAGGCCACCGCCUGGUCUUUGUUCUCCUAAAAAUAAACACAUGCCUAUUUUCUGUAGGAGGCUCCUAACUCAAUUUCCCUAUGGAUUUGGCCAUGAGUAGCAGCACUGUAAUCUCACUAACACAAUGACAGCGUUACACUGUAUCGCUGUACCAGGUAGAAAAAAAUGAAGUUGAGGUGAUAGGAGAAAAGAGAAAAGUGUAGUCACAAGAACUAUGUAGUCAUGCUGGCAUCCUCCCCUACCCUUCUCCUCUAGCUCCCCACAAAGAGUGGAGGAAUCUAGUGGGGACCCUCCCUUGGUCUCCCUCCUGCUGAGGAUGAGUGCACGUUCAACAAGACCUGUAAGUCAGCCCUAUGACCUUUAUCUUCUCUUCCUUCAUUCAACUGCCUGUUUCAAUUCUCUAUUAGACCUUUACUCUGAGGAUGAUAUGCAGCAUAUGACCAUUACAUGUGCUUGCUACCUCUCUGGCCACUGUUGGACCCUAAGGGCUAUAAAACAUGCUACUAGGCCUGAAGAAACACAAUUCAGUCUGACUUGGUGCAAUAUCUUCUGGUUCAGGCCUUUUAUAGCAUGUUGAGCUUUGCAUCUACCUCUGGGCAUGCAAAACCCAGUCCAG